GUUAUACUCCCUUCGUUUCAAAAUUCUUGUCUUAAAUUUGUUUAAAUACGGAUGUAUCAAGUCAUGUUUUAGUAUUAGAUACAUCCGUAUCUAGACGAAUCUAAGACAAGAAUUUUGAGACGGAGGAAGUAUAUU
rnacentral:pre_miRNA from 1 species